rnacentral:rRNA from 1 species
UAAUACAUGCAAGUCGAGGGGUAGAGAGAGCUUGCUUUCUUGAGACCGGCGCACGGGUGCGUAACGCGUAUGCAACCUACCUUUAUCUGGGGGAUAGCCCGGAGAAAUCCGGAUUAAUACCGCAUAAAAUCACAGAAUAGCAUUAUUUAAUGAUCAAACAUUUAUGGGAUGAAGAUGGGCAUGCGUGUCAUUAGCUAGUUGGCGGGGUAACGGCCCACCAAGGCGACGAUGACUAGGGGAUCUGAGAGGAUGGCCCCCCACACUGGUACUGAGACACGGACCAGACUCCUACGGGAGGCAGCAGUAAGGAAUAUUGGUCAAUGGAGGCAACUCUGAACCAGCCAUGCCGCGUGCAGGAAGACUGCCCUAUGGGUUGUAAACUGCUUUUAUCCGGGAAUAAACCUUUCUACGUGUAGGAAGCUGAAUGUACCGGAAGAAUAAGGAUCGGCUAACUCCGUGCCAGCAGCCGCGGUAAUACGGAGGAUCCAAGCGUUAUCCGGAUUUAUUGGGUUUAAAGGGUGCGUAGGCGGCCUGUUAAGUCAGGGGUGAAAGACGGUAGCUCAACUAUCGCAGUGCCCUUGAUACUGAUGGGCUUGAAUGGACUAGAGGUAGGCGGAAUGAGACAAGUAGCGGUGAAAUGCAUAGAUAUGUCUCAGAACACCGAUUGCGAAGGCAGCUUACUAUGGUCUUAUUGACGCUGAGGCACGAAAGCGUGGGGAUCAAACAGGAUUAGAUACCCUGGUAGUCCACGCCCUAAACGAUGAACACUCGCUGUUGGCGAUACACAGUCAGCGGCUAAGCGACAGCGUUAAGUGUUCCACCUGGGGAGUACGCCCGCAAGGGUGAAACUCAAAGGAAUUGACGGGGGCCCGCACAAGCGGAGGAGCAUGUGGUUUAAUUCGAUGAUACGCGAGGAACCUUACCCGGGCUUGAAAGUUAGUGAAUGAUCUAGAGAUAGAUCAGUGAGCAAUCACACGAAACUAGGUGCUGCAUGGCUGUCGUCAGCUCGUGCCGUGAGGUGUUGGGUUAAGUCCUGCAACGAGCGCAACCCCUAUGUUUAGUUGCCAGCAUGUAAUGAUGGGGACUCUAAACAGACUGCCUGUGCAAACAGAGAGGAAGGAGGGGACGACGUCAAGUCAUCAUGGCCCUUACGUCCGGGGCUACACACGUGCUACAAUGGAUGGUACAGAGGGCAGCUAGCUGGCAACAGUAUGCGAAUCUCACAAAGCCAUUCACAGUUCGGAUUGGGGUCUGCAACUCGACCCCAUGAAGUUGGAUUCGCUAGUAAUCGCGUAUCAGCAAUGACGCGGUGAAUACGUUCCCGGGCCUUGUACACACCGCCCGUCAAGCCAUGGAAGUUGGGGGUACCUAAAGUAUGUAACCGCAAGGAGCGUCCUAGGGUAAAACCGAUAACUGGGGCU